ACCGCCGAGCUGGGCUCCCCGGGGCGGGCAGGGAGCGGCCCCUCUGCCUGUGUCUCCUCCGAGCAUCGCUCCUCCGGUGGGACCGGGCUGGGGCUGGCUCCUGCCCCUUCGCGGGGGGGGGGGUGUCCGUUCCUGCCUGCCGGUAUUUGUGAGGAAGGGAGUGGUUCCUUUUGAAGUGCAGCCCUGUCAGCUCCGAGUCCCCUCUCUCUGAUCCCAAAGUGCUGUGUAGCUCAGAGGAAAGGGGAAAGGCACCAACUCCGCAGCUAAUAACCUGCUCGCUAAUUAUUUACAUCCCACCUGCUUGUCCCUGGCUGCGUACAGAGGCACAACAGUGUUUGUCCCCAUCCCUUGUCAUGUUCCCGUCUGUGGUCCUGAUGCUUUGUUCGUCCAGGCGCCGUGUUUUGGAAGGCUAUAUAGAUGCAAAUAUCUAACUGCAGAAAGGUGCUCUACCCUGAUGCAGAUACGCAGCUCCGGCCAGGGUGGAGGAGUUGCCCGCAGCAAUGCUGGGUUGUGUUCCAGGCCUCCGAUGAGGAGCAUGGAGCCCAGCAGAGACAAUCUUGACAUAGUGCAGUCGAGCAGGGCUCCAGGGUGAGAUCUGCUGGGGGGUGAGGCUGCAGGGAAGGGUGAGUGGGGCACUGGGGCCAGGCGUUUUUGUCCAACAGCAUCCCUGGAUGAUUAAAGGUCUGCUGGGUCUAGCAGAGCUGAGGGAAGGUGCUAAGAGCACCCCUCUCUGCGUGUGCAGCCCUGGGGGUGCUGCCUCCUGACCCCAGAAGGCUCAUAAAACAUCCCUUUGAACUGUAAAAAUUGGAGGAGGAUGGAAGAGGCUUGGAAGGAAAGAGGGAGCCUUCUCCCCUUCUAGAACAAACCCUGUGUCUCCUGGCACAGCGGAUCUCCAUUUCAGCUGCCUCUGCACAGCCGAGAGUCUCUAGCUCUUAAUGAAGUGUUUUCCUUUGUCCUUAAGGAACCUUUCCCACACACAGCACAGCCUGAUGCUCCUCUGCUCUUGCUUUCUCAUUAGCCCUGAGCCCUGUUUGUUGCAGUGAGGCCGCGCUGGUCGAGGCUCAGGGUUCGGUGCUGCUGGGCUGGCUUUGUUAAGCUGGAGCAAGGGGAGGAGGAAUCUGCUCCCUUUGUCUGGCUGCAGCACAGCUGGAGGCUGAUCCUUUGCUUUCUCCCUCCAGAAAGGCUGGAGAGAGUGACAGACAAAGCAGUGUCAUGGGAGCAAACCCGCUCUAGGACUUAAUGAAGAGAUGGGGGACUGGGGACAAGGCUGGGGGGAGACGGUCAGUAAUCAAAGCUGGGGGGAUGUGCUGAGCGUUUAGAGAGGGAGAGAAAGAGGAGCUCUCCGAGUCGCAGCAUAGCGAGAAGCAGAUCCGGGUCAGCUGCCUUUGCGGUGAAACCCAAGCUCUCAUCACCAAACAGGAUCCUUGGUAUGUCCGUCCCCAGAGCUGCUGUGUCCCCAGCCAGCAGCAGGUCGCUCUGCGGUGCUGGGGAUGCUUUUCCCCAUGCUGGUGCUAUGCAGAGUCAAGUUUUCACAAGAGCUUGAAACCUAGGUGUCAUUUGGACUUUUCCAGGUGUAGUUCCCACCCUGAGCAGCUCUCCCAGGGGUUUGUUUCCAUGUUUAUCCUGAUUUCAGGGACUGGGGGGCUUCCUGAGCAGCUGUGAGCUUUUGCUGUGACCCCUAGUGCACUCUGCAGCCACCUCCUGCUUCGUCUGCUGGCUUCUCCCCAAAAUCUGCCAGAAAAAGCAGCUGCUGAGACUUCAGACACUUCCAGCAUGCCUCUGCUGCACCGUGCUUCCAGAUAACACCCACUCGGAGACCUCUGUACCUGAAAAAUUGAAGCACUUUUCCUAGUAAUAAUGUCAUUUGCUUUUUACCAGCAGAUCAUAAAUGGCUUAGCAAACAGAGAGGUAACCAGGCAGCAGAAAGGUGAGAAAAGCCGUACCUGUAAUUACGUGGUCAGUGGCAAAAGCUACGAUUAGAGGGUAGGUCUGAUCAGCCCCUGUCCUUGGCUCUGCUUGUGGGAGCCCACCACUUCGGUAUGGCCCCUCUGAUCUGGCUUUUGGUGGCUUGAGUUCAGCCUGGUCCCUAGUGGGGCUCAGGGACCUCCUGGGCUCUGCCAGUGCCUGACCCCUGCUGAGGGAACCUGGCUGUGUUUUCAAACUAACUGUCUUUGAUCGUUUCAAGAAAAGGUUUCAAACUUUUAAGCAUGCUUUUGAGCUGUUCUGCUGGGUGGCAGAGCAGCCCAAGGUGGGGCUGGAGGAACUCUGCUAAUUAAUCAUGGAAUAAGAGAUUUGCUGCAGAAGCCAGGGAAAAUCAACCCAUAAUUCAAAACACAGAGUAUGUUACAGCCGCUUGCUGUGGAACAGGCUAUUUGAGUGUCCACCCCAGAUGUCCGUGUAUGCAGUGUGAAUGGCACUAAGCAAAAACAACCUGAUGGCAGAGACUCGGAGGUAAGCAUGUGUCCCAUCCACAGCACUUGCACUGCACCCCGAAAAUGGCUUGGUCAAUGCCAUUCCUGACCCCCAACCCCUCCUGGGCUUCCUUGCUAUUGCUGGACUUCUCUGGGGGCUCAUCCAUGGAUCGUCUCUGGACCAAGGGCAUCUCUCAUGGGGAUGAUGGGUGUCCAGCAAUCAGCAGCGAGCUGUUAGGCAGCACCAGGUUAUUUAAAGUUGCUUCUGGGCUUAUCAACAACUGGAAGGAGAUGCUGUGGGACGCCAGCCACAGCCACCUUCUUGCCAGCCACCCAGCCUCCUUUGAGAACCAGCAGCCCUUCCCUGGCUCCUCUUGGCUCGUGGGAAAACCCUUCUAGCGGGUUGAGAUUCCCUCCAGGAGCAGGUGAAAUCCUCCAAACUUUCUCAUUACCUCUACAGGCUUGAUGGUGGCAUUCACUAGUUCCAGCAUGCUGGCAGACAGGAGCUGGAGGAUUAAGUGUCUCCACUGAUGGUUCUCACAACUGCACCUUGAAUCCUGCUGUUCUGUGUUGUUCCUACUGCUGUGGGAAGUAGAAGACUGCAGGAGAUAAUCUGCUUUUGUUUGCAACAAAAGGGCUGUGCCUGCCCUCCAGGUGAUGGAGAUGUGACCCUGAGCCAAGGCUGGGGAGCAGGGAGGUGAAUCAGAUGCACCCUGACUGUGUGUGUAGGGUUGUUUGUUUUUAAGAAGUGCUGUGCUUGUUUGGGCUGAGCAGUGCUGGAUGGGCUCCCAGUCUCCUCCCAGUGCUCUGAACAGCAGAUGGCAUCCAUGGGCUGAGCCCAGGCUGGACCAGCACCUCCUGGCAGGCAUCCUGCUGGAGCUGGGGGGGCUGCCCUGCCCAGGUGGUGAUGGACUAUGCUGCUGGGAUCACAGACUGGCUCCAAAAUGCCUUUUUGGGUUGUGCAGGGAUCCUAGCUGAUAGCAUAAGGAUCCAGCAAAUAACUUGAUAUGAAAAGGAUGUUAUGCAUCUCCUCCAGCAUUUUGUUCCCGUGAACAGGCAUCACCUCUGAGUUGAGACACCUUGCAGUAGCUAUGAGCUGAAUUCUGUUCUCGGGUCCCCCAGGCAGAUGGUCUGUAAAGCUGCUGCACCGUGUCAGUCAAGGAGAUGUCUGUGGAGUUGAAUCCUGCUCUUGCUUGCACUGCUGCAGCUCCCUGAGCUCUGCAGUGAAUCUCUAGGGAUUAGAUAGCUGCAGCGUUUCUUUCCCCAGAUGCAUGUUGCCUAUGCUUUUCAGCAGAUGAUUCUAAGUGCUUCCAUCUUUGAAAAUGAUACUUGGUGGAGCUUCUUGUGCCUGGAGGGACAAGAUAAAGCCUCAGCCGGGAGGUCGAGCCCAAUGAUCAAACCAGCCCCAUGGAACGGGGCCUUAGAUGGGAAUUGCCAGCAGUGGAGGCAGGUACUGCUGUCUGAGCCACAGCUGUGACAAACAGAGCUGCUUCAAGAGAUUUCGGGGAGGUACUCGCAUGGAUUCACACGUUGCCCCAGCUCAGUGGGUGGCAGACACGCACCAGGUCCCAUUGCAGCAUCUUGGGUUGCGUCGUUCCUCCCUGUUUUGUUCCAGAGGAGCUGCUGCCAUGGCUGGGGUCGUUCCUGCUCACAGAGAAGAGAGUUUGUGGCCUCGGCCGGCUGCUGCUGCCCUGGUACGUUGGGCAGGGCUUCCCAAGGCUAACUGAAAACAAACUGUGGUGUUUGUUCUUCAGGGGCAGGGAAUUCAGUGAACUGUCUACCUCAUCUCACAUCAUCAGGAUUACUGGUGUCUGUUGUCUGACAUUGAAAACCUAUUUAGAUGCCAAUUCAGUAGUGUAUUUAAGGGGCGUGCUUAGACCUCAGUGUAGAAGACCUGUUGAUAUCAAAGCACGUUUGCUGAACCUGGCCUUUAAAUUGCGGAUGGUGGUGCAGAGGGAAUCUUUUAGAAAUAAAGCAAAUAAAUAUAAAAUAACUGGUUUUCAACCCA